rnacentral:rRNA from 1 species
UAAGUAUAACCUGCCAGACAGGGAAACUGCGUACGGCUCAUUACACCAGCCUUAAUUUACUUGACCGUGACAACCUACUUGGAUAACUGUGGUAAUUCUAGAGCUAAUACAUGCACCAAAGCUCCGAUCCUCGCGGAGAGGAGCGCAUUUGUUCGCCACAAAACCAAGCGCCCAUCUGGGCGUCCAGUGCUGAACCAGAACAACUCAGCUGAUCGCACGGUCUUGUACCGGCGACGUGUCUUUCAAGUGUCUGCCUUAUCAACUUUCGAUGGUAGUGUACCUGACUACCAUGGUUGUGACGGGUAACGGAGGAUAAGGGUUCGACUCCGGAGAAGGGGCCUGAGAAAUGGCCACUACGUCUAAGGAUGGCAGCAGGCGCGCAAAUUACCCACUCUCAACGCGAGGAGGUAGUGACGAGAAAUAACGAGACCGUUCUCAUACGAGGCCGGUUAUUGGAAUGGGUACAAUUUAAA